rnacentral:rRNA from 1 species
CAGCCGCCGCGGGAAUACGUAGGUGGCAAGCGUUGUCCGGAAUUAUUGGGCGUAAAGGGCUCGCAGGCGGUUUCUUAAGUCUGAUGUGAAAGCCCCCGGCUCAACCGGGGAGGGUCAUUGGAAACUGGAAACUUGAGUGCAGAAGAGGAGAGUGGAAUUCCACGUGUAGCGGUGAAAUGCGUAGAGAUGUGGAGGAACACCAGUGGCGAAGGCGACUCUCUGGUCUGUAACUGACGCUGAGGAGCGAAAGCGUGGGGAGCGAACAGGAUUAGAGACCCCUGUAGUCCCUGUCUCUUAUACC